UACGGGGGGGGCAAGCGUUGUUCGGAAUUACUGGGCGUAAAGGGUUCGUAGGUGGCCAACUAAGUCAGACGUGAAAUCCCUCAGCUCAACUGGGGAACUGCGUCUGAUACUGGUCGGCUUGAGUGCAGGAGAGGAACGCGGAAUUCCUGGUGUAGCGGUGAAAUGCGCAGAUAUCAGGAGGAACACCAAUGGCGAAGGCAGCUCGCUGGAACGGUACUGACGCUGAGGCGCGAAAGCGUGGGAGCGAACGGG
rnacentral:rRNA from 1 species